UGACCUCGGAUCAGUAGGAUACCCGCUGAA
rnacentral:rRNA from 1 species